rnacentral:rRNA from 1 species
AACUAGUAAAGUGGCGAACGGGUGAGUAAUGCGUGAGAAUCUACCCUUUAGUGGAGAAUACCUUCGAGAAAUCGAAGUUAAUACUGCAUAAGUCCCUUCGGGGAGAAAGAUGGCUUAUUUUAGCUGUCGCUAUAGGAUGAGCUUGCGUGCUAUUAGCUAGUUGGUGGGGUAAUGGCCUACCAAGGCGAUGAUGGCUAGUCGGCCUGAGAGGGCGUACGACCACACUGGAACUUAGACACGGUCCAGACUCC